rnacentral:lncRNA from 13 species
AUGCGGGCUUUUUCUAUAUUACCUAACACAGCAACAAAAUCCUGUGCAAAAACAUAUGUCUUUUUCGUUUUUCAACGCACAUUCACACACCACAAGGUCUGCCUUAAUCACACUGCCUUCAUUUUCCCUGGGAAAGGAUGGAAAGGAAGCAAAGAGGAGAGCCAACACAUUCUUAUAUCGCCCUUAACAUCAGCACUGCUGUGUAUAAACUCCUUUACUACCCGCCACUGCUUUUCCCGGGCCCCUGAGGACACAGCGGGAGGGCCCCAGAGCUCCCGGGAGGCUCCGGCGCGGCUGCCCGGGGGGCGCCGCUCACAGACAAAGCCGAGCGGGCCCGCAGCGCGGCCCAGCCGUGCGGGCCCCGCCGGCGCCGGGAGAGCUGCUCAGGCCGAUCCCAGGGCCCGGGCGUCGGUGCUGGGAGCCGCUGGGGUGGAGGCGGGGCAGCGCUGCCCGGGCCCCGAGAGGGAGGAACGGACCGCCGCCAUCCCAUCCCGCUGGCGGCGGCGCCGGGGCCGCGGGAGCUGCGGCCGGCGGGCGCGACACACCCGCGCUCGGCCGCUAUGCAGCUCCCGGGGCGCCAUCUCCUACCUGCUCGGACCGGACCCAGCCCGGCGCUUCCCCCCACUACAGGCCGCGUCUCAUUGUGCUCCCGCCGCCGCCAUUUCCCCGCCGCCGCCGCCUCAGUCCCCGCAGCUGUCAGGACCCUCCAUUCACCUGGGCCCGGGACGGCCUCCCCCUCCCUCCCUUGCCCCUGCGCUACGGCCGGCGCUACGCAAACAGAGCGCCGCCCCCGCCCCUCCCGCCCGUACCAACGGGGGCCGCCCAGCGCCCACGGCGCAACCCGGCUCCGAGAAUUCCGCCCUGCGCAGUCCGCACGCUUCGCAUCCCCCACGCUAUGAGAGGAAGCAGGCGAUUGGCGGCCGGAGCCGGGUAAAAGAACGCUGUAAUCACACCAGUGGAAACCAGGCUCCAUCAGGUUCUAAAAUGGACUCUGAAGAGAUUCCUUCCUGCAAGACAAUGGUGACCUCUGUUGUUCCCUGCUGUUGGUACCAGCCGUGA